GGCCCCCCUCUGGGGGGUCCGAGUUGUAAUUUGCAGAGGGCGCUUUGGCAUCGGCGGCGGUCUAAGUUCCUUGGAACAGGACAUCGCAGAGGGUGAGAAUCCCGUACGUGGGCGCCUGCCUUUGCCGUGUAAAGCCCCUUCGACGAGUCGAGUUGUUUGGGAAUGCAGCUCUAAAUGGGAGGUAAAUUUCUUCUAAAGCUAAAUACCGGCCAGAGACCGAUAGCGCACAAGUAGAGUGAUCGAAAGAUGAAAAGUACUUUGGAAAGAGAGUCAAAUAGCACGUGAAAUUGUUGAAAGGGAAGCGCUUGCAGCCAGACGUGCGCGCGGUUGCUCACCCCGGCUCUCGCCUGGGGCACUCUUCCGCGCGCAGGCCAGCAUCAGUUCGGGCGGUCGGAUAAAGGCCUCUGUCAAGUACCUUCCCCCGGGAAGGCCUUAUAGGGGAGGCGCAAUGCGACCAGCCCGGACUGAGGUCCGCGCAUCUGCUAGGAUGCUGGCGUAAUGGCUGUAAGCGGCCCGUCUUGAAACACGGACCAAGGAGUCUAACAUCUAUGCGAGUGUUUGGGUGUCAAGCCCGGGCGCGCAAUGAAAGUGAACGGAGGUGGGAUCCCCUUCCGGGGUGCACCAUCGACCGAUCCUGAUGUCUUCGGAUGGAUUUGAGUAAGAGCAUAGCUGUUGGGACCCGAAAGAUGGUGAACUAUGCUUGAAUAGGGUGAAGCCAGAGGAAACUCUGGUGGAGGCUCGCAGCGGUUCUGACGUGCAAA
rnacentral:rRNA from 1 species